AGUUAUAAACAACUCGUACGGCAGUGGCGGGGGAACCAAUAUCGGGUCGUUAGUUUGAACUAACAACCCUAGGGGUGAAGUGGAAGAGAAGGAAACUUCGAAUCCACCGAGGUAACUCCACUUCGAACCCGACAGCUUACCUCGUAGGUAUCAAGGAGAGGCUUU
rnacentral:sRNA from 2 species